rnacentral:rRNA from 1 species
AGAGCGAACGCUGGCGGCAGGCCUAACACAUGCAAGUCGAGCGGCCGUAGCAAUACGGCAGCGGCAGACGGGAGAGUAACACGUGGGAACGCGCCCUUCGGUUCGGAAUAACUCAGGGAAACUUGGGCUAAUACCGGAUACGCCCUUACGGGGAAAGAUUUAUUGCCGAAGGAACGGCCCGCGUCCGAUUAGCUUGUUGGUGAGGUAACGGCUCACCAAGGCGACGAUCGGUAGCUGGUCUGAGAGGAUGACCAGCCUCACUGGGACUGAGACACGGCCCAGACUCCUACGGGAGGCAGCAGUGGGGAAUAUUGGACAAUGGGCGCAAGCCUGAUCCAGCCAUGCCGCGUGGGUGAUGAAGGCCCUAGGGUUGUAAAGCCCUUUCGGCGGGACGAAGCGAAAGUGACGGUACCUGCAGAGAAGCGCGGCUAACUACGUGCCAGCAGCCGC